rnacentral:rRNA from 1 species
UACGUAGGGUGCAAGCGUUGCCCGGAUUUAUUGGGCGUAAAGGGCGCGUAGGCGGCUCGGCACGUCCGUUGUGAAAUCGCCCGGCUCAACUGGGCGGGGUCGGCGGAUACGGCCGAGCUGGAGCAAGGUAGGGGGUAAUGGAAUUCCCGGUGUAGUGGUGGAAUGCGUAGAUAUCGGGAGGAACACCAGUGGCGAAGGCGGUUACCUGGAGCGUUGCUGACGCUGAUGCGCGAAAGCGUGGGGAGCGAUCAGG